UCCGGUGUAGCUCAAUCGGCAGAGCGCUCGGCUGUUAACCGAGAGGCUGAAGGUUCGACCCCUUCCACCGGAGCCA
rnacentral:tRNA from 1 species